rnacentral:tRNA from 1 species
UGGGUUGUAGCUCAGUGGUAGAGUACUUGCCUGGCAUGUGUAAGGCGCUGGGUUUGAUUCUCAGCACCGCAU